rnacentral:rRNA from 1 species
UAAGGAGGGGGCAAGCGUUGUUCGGAAUUACUGGGCGUAAAGGGCGUGUAGGCGGAUCUGCCAGUCAGGGGUGAAAGCCCCGGGCUCAACCUGGGAACGGCCUUUGAUACUGCAGAUCUAGAGUCCGGGAGAGGAUCGUGGAAUUCCCAGUGUAGAGGUGAAAUUCGUAGAUAUUGGGAAGAACACCAGUGGCGAAGGCGGCGAUCUGGACCGGUACUGACGCUGAGGCGCGAAAGCGUGGGGAGCAAACAGG